GCGCCCAUAGCUUAAUUGGAUAGAGCAUUUGACUACGAAUCAAAAGGUUAGAGGUUCAAGUCCUCUUGGGCGCG
rnacentral:tRNA from 1 species